UGUGGUGUGCAGAUCCUCUAUAGUCCUGGAAUAAAUGGGCAGCCAGUACGAUCCUCUAAAGAUUCAUUCGUGGCCAACCGAUCAUGGAAACAAGAUGGACAUAUAUUGCAAUCUUCGGCCGCUUGCGUCCUACACACAGUACACCCCAUUAAACAGUUAUUACUGUUGCAGCUGUUAUGUUCACCAUAUUUAAUCCAGCAAUCAAUUAACAAAGUGCUUAAGCCGUUGAAGAAUAAUUGUAGCACAAGAAGUGUCAAUUUGCCCUCAUUCUGCUGGAUUACAUCUGUCCACAGGGAAGGACUGGAAGUCUGGAACUGACCUUUUCUCAUGGAAUAAUCAUAUAAUUAAGGGAGUUAAACCAAGCUUAUCCGAUGCUAGGAAAGUUCAAGGGAGAAAUUGUCAUGGUUAUCCAAAGGGAAAAAAGAAAACAUACUGGC